AGUGGGAAAUACAGAGGCGUGGGAGUCAAGGUCACCACAGGGCAGUGGAAAGAACACUGACUUAUGAUAUGGAGGACUGAUGAGUAUCACACCAGGCACCGAGUUACAUACAAAGUUUACAAAAUAUGAAGACAAUACCAUGACUACAAUCAGAGAACUCACCACGAAUAUGAAAUAAGAUUAUUUUUUCCCAAGGAGCGAUGAUCUGAUCCUGAAUCAUUGCAUGAAAUAGUUUCCAUAAACAAAUGAGCCUCAGC